AUGAAUUAGAUAAAAACCAUCUGGCACUUUCUCAAAAUAUGACAUGCAUCCAUUUACCCAGAAUCGAUGCGAGGUGGCCUCAGCUGAACUCGACAACGAUCUUAAAGCUGCCUCGUCUGGCAUCGGAUCCAUAAAGUUGGGAUCAUCGGCACAAGUAGCCUCUGAAGAAAGCCUGAGAGCCAAAGCCUGCUGCAAUUGAUA
rnacentral:misc_RNA from 1 species